GGAGGAGGAAUAGGAGAAAGAGAAAGACAGCCGGACAUAAGUGUCGGACUAUCAUAAAUGGCGAUGAGUGGAGUCAUGCCAGGUUGCCAUGGUGAUUAAUGAGGUACCCCAGGGGCCGGUGUUGCUUCUCUAACCGUAGUGGUGCUGUCCACAGGGCCGAGAGCUGUAAUUCUGCCUUCUCUAUAGUGGCUGGCAGAGCUUCUCCCAGUCCGCCCCUUCACAACAGACGUUCUGCUGACCGUUAAACCAGCUUGAGCCAUGCCAAAUACCACCUCUGAUUCUUCAGAGGAGUGAUGGACUCAAAUGCGGGAAAUGACAUGGAGCUUCAGAGAGGGAGGAAAGGAAUAAAGAGGAGUGGGAUGGAAGAGUUCUGCUGUGCAUUAAUUAGGUGUCUGCUGAAGACAACAAUGCAAUCUA